AUUUCUCUGAGAUGUUUGCAAGCGGGCCAGUCCCCUGAGCCGAUAUUUCAUACCAACAGAAUGUGGCGCUCCACGGUUGGUGAGCAUGCUCGGUUCGUCCGAGAAGCCUUAAAACUGUGACGACACAUUCACCUUGAACCAAGGGUUCAAGGGUUACAGCCUGCGGCGGCAUCUCGGAGAUUCC
rnacentral:other from 2 species